CUCUUCCGGGCAAAAUGGCGAUGGGACUGAUGUGUGGACGCCGGGAGCUUCUGCGCUUGCUACAGUCCGGGCGUCGGGUCCACAGCGUCGCAGGGCCCUCUCAAUGGCUUGGGAAACCGCUGACCGCACGGCUCCUAUUCCCAGCAGCCCCGUGCUGCUGUCGCCCACACUACCUCUUCCUUGCGGCUUCCGGCCCCCGCAGCCUCAGUACCUCUGCCAUCUCGUUUGCAGAAGUCCAGGUUCAGGCCCCUCCUGUUGUUGCGGCAACUCCCGCACCCACAGCGGUACCUGAGGUGGCUUCUGGAGAGACUGCAGAUGUAGUCCAAGCUGCUGCAGAACAGAGCUUCGCUGAACUGGGGCUGGGGUCAUACACCCCAGUGGGACUGAUCCAGAAUUUACUGGAAUUUAUGCAUGUUGACCUGGGCCUACCUUGGUGGGGGGCCAUUGCUGCAUAUUACAAGGCUUCCUCGGAGAUGGCAUUUUACCAGAAAAAACAUGGUAUUAAACUCUAUAAACCUCUCAUUCUCCCUGUGACUCAGGUGAGCAAAAACAUUUCCUUCCUUAUUUCAUCCAGUACCCAUCAAAUUUCCUCUCUGUGUUUCAUGUGCCCCAGGUCCCCCAAAAAACAGGUGGUGGUGGAUUGUACAUGGCUUUCAGUAGUGGGGUGAUGAAAAUGUUCCCUCUGGUAAAGCAUGCUGACACUGUUUAUCUUGUGUAAUAGGCCCCAAUCUUCAUCUCCUUCUUCAUUGCUUUGAGAGAGAUGGCCAACCUUCCUGUGCCCAGCCUGCAGACAGGUGGCCUCUGGUGGUUCCAGGAUCUCACGG
rnacentral:sRNA from 1 species